rnacentral:lncRNA from 1 species
GCAAUAGAAUAUGGAUUUUAAAAAAUUUUUAACAUGCAUAAAAAGAGUUUUAACGCUUAAAACCAGUAUAUCAAAACUCAAACCCUAAAAUCAUCUUGUAGACUCCAAUCAAACUAUUUAAGCAUGCAAUAGGAUAGAAAUUAUACUUUCUAAAGAAGAUAAUCAGAUGGCAAAAUGAUCUCUAUAAGGCUCCAAAGUAGAU